GGUGCCAUAGCCAAGUGGUAAGGCAAAGGUCUGCAACACCUUUAUCACCGGGUCAAAUCCGGUUGGCACCU
rnacentral:tRNA from 1 species